rnacentral:tRNA from 1 species
AGCACCUGCUUUGCAAGCAGGGGGUCGUCGGUUCGAUCCCGUCCGGCUCC